rnacentral:rRNA from 1 species
AUUGAACGCUGGCGGCAGGCCUAACACAUGCAAGUCGAGCGGAGCGGCGGACGGGUGAGUAAUGCCUAGGCACCUGCCUGGUAGUGGGUGAUCACGUCCGGAACCGGGCGCUAAUACCGCAUACUAUCAGAUGAGCCUAGGUCGGAUUAGCUUGUUGGUGGGGUAAAGGCCUACCAAGGCGACGAUCCGUAACUUGUCUGAGAGGAUGGGCAGUCACACUGGAACUGAAACACGGUCCAGGCUCCUACGGGAGGCAGCAGUGGGGAAGAUAGGACUAUGGGCGAAAGCCUAGCCCAGCCAUGCCGCGUGUGUGAAGAAGGUCAUCGGAUUGUAAAGCUCUAUAAGUUGGAAAGCGUUACCAACAGAAUAAGCACCGGCUAACUUCGUGCCAGCAGCCGCGGUAAUAC